GCAUAUAUACAUAUAUAAAAUUGGAACAAUACAGAGAAGAUUAGCAUGACCCCUGAGCAAGUAUGACAUAGAAAUCAUAAAGUAUUCCAUAUUUUU
ensembl:snRNA U6 U6 spliceosomal RNA